AUGAUACCAAAGGCAGAGCGCUCUGAUGACCUUGUCGCUGUACGCCUCCGGAUCGGCCGCCUGCAUCUCCACCAGGUCGCCGACCAUCGUCCUGCCGCGGCGGCUCCUCCCCUCGUCAUCGUCCAAGGAGGCGAGGUGCUCGUCGAUGAGCCGCUGCGCCCACUCGUUGCGCUUCCGGGACAGCCGCACCGCGCGCCGCCUGGCGCCGCCGAUGUCCAGCACACCGAGCACCGGCAGGAAGUCCUGCAGGUUGGACGCCCCGUGCAUCGCGAAGUACUCGCGCACCAUCUCCCGGAACCUGCCAGCCUCCUCCACCUCCGACUCCGGCACGUCCCCCUCGCCACCGUAGUACCGCUUCCCGGCGAUCAUCCGCGCCACCAUGUUCAGCGCCAGCUCGAACGCCCGCGCCUUCACGUUGGCGCGCGCGGGGCUUGGCUCCGACGCCCCGUGGGCGGCGGCCUCGAGGAAGAGACGGCGCGCGGCGAGGCGGACCUCGUCUGUGCGGACGGCCGCGGAGCGGAGGAGGCUGCCCGCGGAGAGCACCUCCACGGUGGCGAUGCGGCGGAGGUUGCGCCAGUUGGCGCCGUAGCUGGAGGACCCCAGCGUGGUGUAGCCGUUGGAGAGGUGGCGCGCGGAGGGGAGCCGGGGCCGGUUGGCGAAGACCACGUCGUGCGCCGUCAGGCACUCUUCGGCUGCGGCUGGGUCGGUGACAUGGAGCACGCGGCGGGAGCCGAAGCGGAGGAGCAGCACCGGCCCGUGCGCCGCGGCGAGGUUGGCCAGCGCGCGGUGGAGGGGCUUCUUGAAGAGGUGCAGGUGGCCGAUGACCGGCAGGGACGGCGGGCUCGGCGGCAGCCGGAGGCUGCGCUCACGCCUGCUCUUCCUGAGGAUCCCGAGCAGGAUGAGGACGAAGAGGACCGUGGCAAGCGAGAGGGGCAGGUAGGAGAGCGUCCCGGCGUCCGCCAUGGAUGGGAUCUUGGAGGUCAGCGAGGGUGA
rnacentral:rRNA from 1 species